GAAAGAAAAGAACUAAAAAAAUUAAAACUUUCAACAACGGAUCUCUUGGUUCUGGCAUCGAUGAAGAACGCAGCGAAAUGCGAUAAGUAAUGUGAAUUGCAGAAUUCAGUGAAUCAUCGAAUCUUUGAACGCACAUUGCGCCCGCCGGUAUUCCG
rnacentral:rRNA from 1 species